UGCCAUCCGCCGCGGUAAUACGGAGGGUGCAAGCGUUGUUCGGAAUUAUUGGGCGUAAAGAGCAUGUAGGCGGACUGUUAAGUCUGGCGUGAAAGCCCGGGGCUCAACCCCGGAAGUGCGUUGGAUACUGGCAAACUAGAGUGUAUGAGGGGUACCUGGAAUUCCUAGUGUAGGAGUGAAAUCCGUAGAUAUUAGGAGGAACACCAAUGGCGAAGGCAGGGUACUGGCAUAUUACUGACGCUGAGGCACGAAAGCGUGGGGAGCGAACCGGAUUAGAUA
rnacentral:rRNA from 1 species